CGAAAGGCUCUUUUAAGAGCCACUACAGAGCCACGGGAGAGAGCUGU
rfam:Ficedula albicollis isolate OC2 chromosome 1A, whole genome shotgun sequence.